rnacentral:rRNA from 1 species
UACGGAAGGCAGCAGUGGGGAAUAUUGCACAAUGGGCGGAAGCCUGAUGCAGCGACGCCGCGUGGGGAUGACGGCCUUCGGGUUGUAAACUCCUUUCGACAGGGACGAAGCUUUUUGUGACGGUACCUGUAUAAGAAGCACCGGCUAACUACGUGCCAGCAGCCGCGGUAAUACGUAGGGUGCGAGCGUUGUCCGGAAUUACUGGGCGUAAAGAGCUCGUAGGUGGUUUGUCGCGUCGUCUGUGAAAUUCCGGGGCUUAACUCCGGGCGUGCAGGCGAUACGGGCAUAACUUGAGUGCUGUAGGGGAGACUGGAAUUCCAUGUGUAGCGGUGAAAUGCGUAGAGAUGUGGAGGAAUACCGGUGGCGAAGGCGGCCCCUGGACAAAGCUGACGCUCAUGUGCGAAAGCGUGGGGAGCAAACAGGGAUUAGAUACC